UUUCUGGCUUCUAAGAGCAGCAAGAGGAAAGAGAUCUGAAAGAUGAAGCUGGGCUCUCUUUCAGCAGUGCCUGCAACAUCAUGUGAUCUAGGUUAUUUAUUGAAUCGUUCUAAGGGUCAGUUUCCCCAUUUGUAAAAUGGGUAAAUACUUCCUUCUAGCAGUGUUUGGCCAAGUGUGGAGAGUGGUUCCCAUACCCCUCUGCAGGCAUUCACCUGGAAGCUUGGCCCUUUGAACCAGAAUCUCGGAAGGUGGAGCCCAGCAAUCUGUCCUAACAGGCCUUCAAGGUGAUGCUGAUGGAUGCUGAAGCUUGAGAACCACUACCCUAGAGAUCUCGGGAAGGCUGGGGAAGACUAUGUGAACUCCAGCAGGCCUCAGGAGCAUGAGGGGACCUAGGUCACCUGAUCUGUCCUAAAGGAACAUCACAAGCAAGGUUUUAACGCUUGUUGUCCAGUUAUCACAAGGCCUAUCGUCAAGGACAUAGUGUCCACUGGAGGCAGCAUCCCAUCAGCCACACACUGGACAAGCAAACAUGGAUUUCUUUUGAGGGUACUGGUAUUCAUUCACCCAGCUAGACUUAGUCCAUAGACAUACUUGGGCCUGCCCUUGGAAACCUAUUCAUCCUCUUGCAUGGAUCAAGCUGUUUCUGCUUCUGACUUUCCAGCCACCUAACCGUGAGUGAACCCUGAGAGCAUCCUGUAGGACAUGUGACCUCACUGAAGGAGAAGCAGAACUGAAGGAAGAGGGGCUGGAGGUAUGGGAGGCAGUGCCAGAGUGACAAGUCUUGAGGUAGUAGGAAACUGAGAAGAAGGCAAACCUCAUGGGCUGAAAUCUGGCCACUAAGGAUUGGAUCCAUUUCAGCAACAUUUGAAAAUCACACCAUCCAAAUUCUUAACCAAAGUUAUUUAUAUUAGCUGGAGAAGCGCUCCUCCUCAUCCUCACCCCAUCUUCUAGCCAGAAGCAAUCUGCUCUGGGAUUAGUGGGUGAUGUAGUGUCAAGGGUUCAGGUUUCUAGGGUUGUGCUGCUAUGCGCAAGGUCAUCCCAUGCUCCAAGAUGCUUGCUUGAGGUCCAGCCAUGGUAUCUGCACCCCAGAAAGCAGGAAUCCCUUUCACACUUCUCCCGAACACACUUGAAACACCUUUCCUAGAUGUUCUAUAUACCUUUCCUAACUGUGUCUCAUUGGUUAGAACCUCACACGACUGGACAUGGCAGCAAGCAAGGCAGUAAUCUCCCCUGGGUUGUGAUAUUCUCAAUUAAUAUAGGGGUUCCCGAGAGAAGCGAAGUCCCAGACUGGAGGGCAGUUUGAAUCAGCACCAUAGAUGUGAACUCUUUCCUCAGGCCCAAAAGACUAACUUUUAUUGCUAUUUUAAUUUUGCCUUUGUCUUCCUUCCUUCCUUCCU